AACUGGGGAACUUGAGUGCAGAAGAGGAGAGUGGAAUUCCACGUGUAGCGGUGAAAUGCGUAGAGAUGUGGAGGAACACCAGUGGCGAAGGCGACUCUCUGGUCUGUAACUGACGCUGAGGAGCGAAAGCGUGGGGAGCGAACAGGAUUAGAUACCCUGGUAGUCCACGCCGUAAACGAUGAGUGCUAAGUGUUAGGGGGUUUCCGCCCCUUAGUGCUGCAGCUAACGCAUUAAGCACUCCGCCUGGGGAGUACGGUCGCAAGACUGAAACUCAAAGGAAUUGACGGGGGCCCGCACAAGCGGUGGAGCAUGUGGUUUAAUUCGAAGCAACGCGAAGAACCUUACCAGGUCUUGACAUCCUCUGACAAUCCUAGAGAUAGGACGUCCCCUUCGGGGGCAGAGUGACAGGUGGUGCAUGGUUGUCGUCAGCUCGUGUCGUGAGAUGUUGGGUUAAGUCCCGCAACGAGCGCAACCCUUGAUCUUAGUUGCCAGCAUUCAGUUGGGCACUCUAAGGUGACUGCCGGUGACAAACCGGAGGAAGGUGGGGAUGACGUCAAAUCAUCAUGCCCCUUAUGACCUGGGCUACACACGUGCUACAAUGGACAGAACAAAGGGCAGCGAAACCGCGAGGUUAAGCCAAUCCCACAAAUCUGUUCUCAGUUCGGAUCGCAGUCUGCAACUCGACUGCGUGAAGCUGGAAUCGCUAGUAAUCGCGGAUCAGCAUGCCGCGGUGAAUACGUUCC
rnacentral:rRNA from 1 species